rnacentral:rRNA from 1 species
AUCAAUGGCGAUGAUUCACUUCAAAUGUUGACUACUGUAGUCACUCACUUAAGCUAAGCAGGGCUGUCUCUGAUCGGUACCUGGAUGGGAGAUCACAUGGGAAAGCCAUGUUGCUGCUGGAA